rnacentral:rRNA from 2 species
GAUGAACGCUGGCGGCGUGCCUAAUACAUGCAAGUCGAACGAGUUCUGAUUAUUGAAAGGUGCUUGCAUCUUGAUUUAAUUUUGAACGAGUGGCGGACGGGUGAGUAACACGUGGGUAACCUGCCCUUAAGUGGGGGAUAACAUUUGGAAACAGAUGCUAAUACCGCAUAAAUCCAAAAACCGCAUGGUUCUUGGCUGAAAGAUGGCGUAAGCUAUCGCUUUUGGAUGGACCCGCGGCGUAUUAGCUAGUUGGUGAGGUAACGGCUCACCAAGGCAAUGAUACGUAGCCGAACUGAGAGGUUGAUCGGCCACAUUGGGACUGAGACACGGCCCAAACUCCUACGGGAGGCAGCAGUAGGGAAUCUUCCACAAUGGACGCAAGUCUGAUGGAGCAACGCCGCGUGAGUGAAGAAGGCUUUCGGGUCGUAAAACUCUGUUGUUGGAGAAGAAUGGUCGGCAGAGUAACUGUUGUCGGCGUGACGGUAUCCAACCAGAAAGCCACGGCUAACUACGUGCCAGCAGCCGCGGUAAUACGUAGGUGGCAAGCGUUAUCCGGAUUUAUUGGGCGUAAAGCGAGCGCAGGCGGUUUUUUAAGUCUGAUGUGAAAGCCCUCGGCUUAACCGAGGAAGUGCAUCGGAAACUGGGAAACUUGAGUGCAGAGGAGGACAGUGGAACUCCAUGUGUAGCGGUGAAAUGCGUAGAUAUAUGGAAGAACACCAGUGGCGAAGGCGGCUGUCUGGUCUGUACUGACGCUGAGGCUCGAAAGCAUGGGUAGCGAACAGGAUUAAUACCCUUGUAGUCCAAGGGCGAAUUCCACAGUGGAUAUCAAGCUUAUCGAUACCGUCGACCUCGAGGGGGGGGCCAGUACCCAGCUUUUGUUCCCUUUAGUGAGGGGUUAAUUACA